GUCUUUUGAGUACCUUCGUUUCCUCGGCGGGUCCGCCCGCCGAUUGGACAACAUUUAAACCCUUUGUAGUUGCAAUCAGCGUCUGAAAAAACUUAAUAGUUACAACUUUCAACAACGGAUCUCUUGGUUCUGGCAUCGAUGAAGAACGCAGCGAAAUGCGAUAAGUAGUGUGAAUUGCAGAAUUCAGUGAAUCAUCGAAUCUUUGAACGCACAUUGCGCCCCUUGGUAUUCCAUGGGGCAUGCCUGUUCGAGCGUCAUUUGUACCUUCAAGCUCUGCUUGGUGUUGGGUGUUUGUCUCGCCUCUGCGUGUAGACUCGCCUUAAAACAAUUGGCAGCCGGCGUAUUGAUUUCGGAGCGCAGUACAUCUCGCGCUUUGCACUCAUAACGACGACGUCCAAAAGUACAUUU
rnacentral:rRNA from 1 species